UACGUAGGUGACAAGCGUUGUCCGGAUUUACUGGGCGUAAAGAGCGCGUAGGCGGUCGUUCAAGUCGAGUGUGAAAGCCCCCGGCUCAACUGGGGAGGGUCAUUCGAUACUGAUCGACUCGAAGGCAGGAGAGGGAAGUGGAAUUCCCGGUGUAGUGGUGAAAUGCGUAGAUAUCGGGAGGAACACCAGUGGCGAAGGCGGCUCACUGGCCCGGUACUGACGCUGAGGUGCGAAAGCGUGGGGAGCAAACAGG
rnacentral:rRNA from 1 species